rnacentral:lncRNA from 1 species
UCUUAUAAUUCCAGAGCACAAAUUUUUUGUUUCAUGCUCUAUAUGAUUUUCCCCUUUUAUGGUCAAUGCUCAAAGGAAACAAGAAACGUACUAACUGAAAUGGAUAAAGCACAUUUUGGAAGCCACUUCUUGUAUUUCAUUCAGGCCCAGAGAAGUUAGACAGCUUCAUAUAAAGGAGAAUGCAGGGGAAUGGAAAGACCUUGAUUCUAGUACCAGUUCCCGAUCUACAAGAUGCUCAUCUGUCACUUUAGGUACAUGAAACAUUUUAGAUUUUAUUUAAUCUGAAAAAAACUCAGAGAUUAGCAUCUAUUUUUUUAAAAUAGAGAGUUGUUACCAGGACACAGCAAGGACCCAGGAAAACAUCCCAUGGCAAAGAAUUUAACUGUGAAGGUAACCUUGGGGACUGUAACUGUCUGCUGUUGACCUUUCCAGCUGUAAGAAUUGGGCAAGGUCAUCCAGCAGCUGGUGGAAGUUGAAGCAGACACCCACAUCUAAACUUUGAACUGAACUGGAAUCCAGUUGCAGAGAGGAAGGACUGAUGAGCAAAGGAGUUCAAACCAGGAUGGUGAAACCCACAGAAACUGCUGACAUGAACAAAGGAAAGCACUUGCUCCCCAGACUGAUAGCUGGGAAACCAACAUGGGACUGAUCCAGACCCCAUGAAUGUGAGUGUCAGUGAAGAGACCUUGGAAAUCUAUGGGACCUCUUGUAGUGGAUCAGUACUUAUCCCUAGCAUAAGAAUGGACUUUGGGAGCCCAUCCCACAAGGACGGAUACUCCCUGAGCCUCCCUGAGACACAAGGGGGUUGGCCUUGGCCCUAUCCCAAAGAGUAAGUCAGACUUUGAAGACCACCCCCACGGAAGGCCUCACCCUCCCUUGGGAGUAGAAAGGGUAUGGAAUAGGUAGGGUGUUAGUUGGGGG